UAGCAGAUUUUCCUCAUUUGGAUCCAGUGUCUUCUUUACAUGAUAGAACAGGAAAUCUCAUUUCUUUAUAGGACCCCCUAAUCGACAGAGAAUUCGACCAAGCUGGAGGAGCUGCUGAACGCUGAGGCACGUGCGACCUGUUGCAGAGUGACUGAAUGGCACCCCUGUUUCACAGACACAGGCCAGGUUAAAAGUUACCACGAGCUUGAAAACUGGGCAGUAGCCACACAGCUCUUGAACUGGUGUAAGUAUGAAUGCAGCUAUGGUGGAGGCUGUGGAACCUGCCCACAUCACCUGAGGGUCUGGUCCUUCUGUGCAGUGCUGGUUAUUCAAGAAACCAAGCAACCCCUGAGGAGCAGUUGAGAGUGAUAUUCCCCCUGUUCUCUUGGCUGCUUGAAGCACCCUGAAGCCCAGCAGGUAUUUUCCAUUCAUCUGCGAUAGCAGGCUGUGUAGAUAAAUAUAUACAUAUUCAGCAGGCUGAGCAGGAGGAUUUGUGCGUGUCUCCCUUUAGGCUGGUCUGGACUUUGUCUGUUCUGCCUCCCCUUCCCAGAUGCUUCCUUCUGUGCCUCAGUAAAGCAGGAUAUGGUGUCACUUUGGGUUUUGUCUUUGUAAGAAUAAACAAAACAGAAGGCCGAAAGCCAGCUACUUAAAACACAUUCCACUGCUGUGGCUGGGAAAAAAAAUCUCUACUUCAGAUACAGACAUUCACUGUUUGCACUGCUCAUCCUCCUGGCAGGGGUUAUGGGCUUUGUCUGCCUCACUUGGUUUGAGCCUAACCUUUCUGAUCUUUCUAUUUUUGAGAUGCCUGAUACACUGUCCCUUCCUCCUAUGGAUCUCGGGUUCCAGCUGCUUCCCAAAUCUCCAGGCAUUGAUAAAAAAGAUCUCAUACAAUGGGUCAAGGAGAAAAUGGAAGGAGUCGCUUCCUGAAGGCAGAGAUGGGAGGGGUGGCUGCGAUCGCUGGGUCCUGGCUCCCCACCCCAAAGGGUUUGCCCUGCUGCCAGCAACUGCACAUUGCUUGCUGUUCCUUGGCUUGUGUGAAUACGUGACACUAUCUCAGUGAAAUGACAACAAAGAAUAUAAGGACACUUUUGCAGGUGUCAGGGGUGCCCAGCUGAAAAAA
rnacentral:lncRNA from 1 species